GUAGCGUAAUGGAUAGCGUGUUGGACUUCUAGUCCAAAGGGCGUGGGUUCGAAUCCCUCUUUACU